GGCUCAUUAAAUCAGUUAUAGUUUAUUUGAUGGUACCUUACUACUCGGAUAACCGUAGUAAAUCUAGAGCUAAUACGUGCGUAAAUCCCGACUUCUGGAAGGGACGUAUUUAUUAGAUAAAAGACCGACCGGCUUCGGCCGACCCUCGGUGAAUCAUGAUAACUUCACGAAUCGCACGGCCUUGUGCCGGCGAUGUUUCAUUCAAAUUUCUGCCCUAUCAACUUUCGAUGGUAGGAUAGAGGCCUACCAUGGUGGUAACGGGUGACGGAGAAUUAGGGUUCGAUUCCGGAGAGGGAGCCUGAGAAACGGCCACCACAUCCAAGGAAGGCAGCAGGCGCGCAAAUUACCCAAUCCCGACACGGGGAGGUAGUGACAAGAAAUAACAAUACCGGGCUCUUUCGAGUCUGGUAAUUGGAAUGAGAACAAUCUAAACCCCUUAUCGAGGAUCCAUUGGAGGGCAAGUCUGGUGAACGAUUCAACAAAAGAAAAAAAUGCUGUUGACGCCAGAGAUAGUAGGGCACCUUUUCGGUGUUAUGCCUGCUAGUCGAUGCAGCCGCUUAUUUGAUCGGGCUGGCUGCCGGCGAGAUGACCUGGAACGGGGAAGGCCUUCACCCUCCACCCAAUGGAGGACUGGUUGAUCCCGUGGCGAGCCUGUAAAGAGCGAUCUUUACGAGGCCGUCGUAACGCACGGUAAGGCAUCGGCUCACCUCAAGAUUAUGAGUGGGCUUAAGGGACGUGCUAAACCCAUCCGAUGAUAAAGGAUGCUCUGACCAUUAGCUCCCGAUCAGCAAAGGGUCAAGGGGGACGAAAGUGUUUGGAGGAAAUGCCAAACACUGUCCGGUAUCUUGCGACCUGAAAAUGUACUUCAGCAAGCAAGAACAUUGGCCAGCAGCCGCGGUAAUUCCAGCUCCAAUAGCGUAUAUUUAAGUUGCUGCAGUUAAAAAGCUCGUAAGGAGAGCCUGAGGGAGAAUCCGGCGACAGUCGGGGAGAGCCNUCAGGGAGUGAAUUAAUAGUCGGUGCAGCAAUGUACUCGACGGCCAGUGUGCNUCUCACUCGGACCAACCGGGAGCCUGUGGCUUAAUUUGACUCAACACGGGAAAACUUACCAGGUCCAGACAUAGUGAGGAUUGACAGAUUGAGAGCUCUUUCUUGAUUCUAUGGGUUAAAUACCACUAGCCCAUGAGAGCGGUGCGAAAGCACGCAGCUAGUUUCGGCUCGGCCGCUUUUGCGAGGCCGAGUGGGAAGCGAGACCGUCGAAUUGCGGGAAAGUCCUUAGAGCCCAAACUACCAAGCUGUCAGCCGAAAGGCGCAGUGGCCAGGUUAACAACCUCGGGUAUGGUAAAAAUGUUUGGGAUUGGAUAAUCCGCAGCCAAGCUCCUAAGGGCCAAAAGCCUAUGGAGAAGGUUCAGAGACUAAGUGGCGGUCGGUCCCUAAGUUCUUGUUACAUGCGAAUAUCUAUUGUCAUCAUCAGAAUCAGACAUUGUAAACGCUCGAGGGUAACAAGAAUGAAAGUGGCUUAAGAUAUAGUCCGGCUCUGUCGAGAGACAGCCUCAGGACGAAAGCUCACAGCAUGAGCAGGAGCCUGAGGGGGAGACACGAGACCCGUGUUUCCUAGAGUACCCGGGUGGUGCAUGGCCGUUCUUAGUUGGUGGGUUGCCUUGUCAGGUUGAUUCCGGUAACGAACGAGACCUCCGCCUGCUAAAUAGUCCAACCCGGUUUUCCGGGUUGCAGACUUCUUAGAGGGACUAUCUGCGUCUAGCAGAUGGAAGCAGGAGGCAAUAACAGGUCUGUGAUGCCCUUAGAUGUUCUGGGCCGCACACGCGCUACACUGACGCGAUCAACAAGCCUAGCCUUGGCCGAGAGGUCCGGGUAAUCUUGUAAUCCGCGUCGUGAUGGGGAUAGAUUAUUGCAAUUAUUAAUCUUCAACGAGGAAUGCCUAGUACGCGCAGUUCAUCAGACUGCGCGGAUUACGUCCCUGCCCUUUGUACACACCGCCCGUCGCUCCUACCGAUUGGGUGUGCUGGUGAAGUGUUCGGAUCGGUGCGUUGUGGCGGUUUCCGCUGCGGCGCGCUGAGAAGUUCUCUAAACCCUCCCACCUAGAGGAAGGAGAAGUCGUAACAAGGUCUCCGUAGAAGUGUUUAUACACCGUGCGGAUAAAAGCGGGCCUGAAAAGGGUUUUCCGCUAGUGGGGCUGCUGCGGCAGACUCGCAACACCGUCAAAUUGCUCGGAAAUCCUGCUAUGUCAACAGUACCGCCUCUGGUUUGGAAACAUGCCAGAGGCACCGGGGGGAAACUCGCGGGUAUGGUGAUAAUCUGUUGAAUAGGGACGAUGAGCAGCCAAGCCCUACGGUAGCGUCAGGCUACUAUGGGUGCAGUUCACAGACUAAAUGUCGGUGGGUCUCUUUUCGAGGCUUAAGAUAUAGUCGGCCCGCGCCGAGAGGCGAGCCCUUAAGAGGAUCCCGGGGAUUUUAAACAACCUGGGGGAGAGCUGAAGGGGGCUGGGAGUAAUAGUCGCAAGACGGCACGCUUUUUCCUAGAGCGGGCCUCCCAGUCGGAUUCGCGAGGUGAACCUGCGGAGGGAUCAUUGAAUCACAUCGUAUCCACUNUGGUAACCACUCUGUACCCCCUUCACGGACCCUCCACGGAGGGCCGAGCUGCGCGGGGCUCAAGGUNUUUUUUGCCCUUGGGUGUCGCGGGUUGGGUCGUCCUCUUUUUGGGGGCGGCUCGGCCGGGCCUUUUUUUUUUACAACUUUUUCACUCCAAACUUAAACAAAUCUAAAGCCAAAGCGCGUGGCUCUGCCGCCGCUGUCUAACCAAAGACAACUCUCAACAACGGAUAUCUUGGCUCCUGUAUCGAUGAAGAACGCAGCGAACUGCGAUAAGUAGUGUGAAUUGCAGAAUUCCGUGAACCAUCGAAUCUUUGAACGCAGAUUGCGCCCAACACUCCGGUGGAGGGCAUGUCUGGCUCAGAGUCGGUAUACCCCCAUCGCUGCCUAACCGCAGCUGGAUCUGGCAGUCCCGCCGCCAAGGCGGGUCUGCUGAAGCACAGAUGUGCGCCUCGACGGUUCCUGAACCUCGACAACUAGGUAGGCAGCCCGCUGCAUACCGUUGUUGCCAGGGACCUCGAAACAUGCGUGCAGUACACCAACUCUUACUUUCGACCUGAGCUCAGGCAAGGUACCC
rnacentral:rRNA from 1 species